rnacentral:rRNA from 1 species
AAGGGGGCGAGCGUUGUUCGGAUUUACUGGGCGUAAAGGGCGCGCAGGCGGCUUUUCAAGUCAGGCGUGAAAGCCCCGGGCUUAACCUGGGAACUGCGUCUGGGACUGAAGGGCUAGAGUUCGGGAGAGGAGAGUGGAAUUCCCAGUGUAGAGGUGAAAUUCGUAGAUAUUGGGAAGAACACCGGUGGCGAAGGCGGCUCUCUGGACCGAGACUGACGCUGAGGCGCGAAAGCGUGGGGAGCAAACAGG